UACGGAGGGAGCGAGCGUUGUCCGGAAUUACUGGGCGUAAAGGGCGUGCAGGCGGCCUUUUAAGUCCGGCGUGAAAUCCUGCGGCUCAACCGGAGACGGUCGUGGGAAACUGGAAGGCUAGAGUGCGGGAGAGGAGAGUGGAAUUCCCGGUGUAGCGGUGAAAUGCGCAGAUAUCGGGAAGAACACCGAUGGCGAAAGCAGCUUUCUGGGACGGUACUGACGCUGAGACGCGAAAGCGUGGGGAGCGAACAGG
rnacentral:rRNA from 1 species